rnacentral:rRNA from 1 species
AUUGAACGCUGGCGGAAUGCUUUACACAUGCAAGUCGAACGGCAGCACGGACUUCGGUCUGGUGGCGAGUGGCGAACGGGUGAGUAAUGUAUCGGAACGUGCCCAGUCGUGGGGGAUAACGCAGUGAAAAUUACGCUAAUACCGCAUACGAUCUAUGGAUGAAAGCGGGGGAUCGCAAGACCUCGCGCGAUUGGAGCGGCCGAUAUCAGAUUGGGUAGUUGGUGGGGUAAAGGCCCACCAAGCCAACGAUCUGUAGCUGGUCUGAGAGGACGACCAGCCACACUGGAACGGAGACACGGGCCUGACUCCUACGGGAGGCAUCAGGGGGGAAUUUUGGACAAUGGGCGAAAGCCUGAUCCAGCCAUUCCGCGUGCAGGAUGAAGGCCCUCGGGUUGUAAACUGCUUUUGUACAGAACGAAAAGGUUUCUACUAAUACUAUGAGCUCAUGACGGUACUGUAAGAAUAAGCACCGGCUAACUACGUGCCAGCCGCCGCCGUAA